rnacentral:tRNA from 1 species
GCGAGAGUGGUGAAAUUGGUAGACACGCUAGAUUUAGGAUCUAGUGCCUUCGGGUUUAAGGGUUCGAGUCCCUUCUCUCGCA